AGAGUGUAUGGGGAAUGCCUAGGCUCUCAGAGACUACGAAAGACGUGAUAAGCUGCGAAAAGCUGCGGGGAGGUGCAAAUAACCUUUGAUCCGUGGAUGUCUGAAUGGGGAAACCCACAUGGUUGAAGACCAUGUACCUAGCAAUAGGAGAAAACCCAGGGAACUGAAACAUCUAAGUACCUGGAGGAAAAUAAAACAAUAGUGAUUCCGCAAGUAGUGGCGAGCGAACGCGGAUCAGCCCUAAAGCUGUUAUAUGACAAGUAGAAUGUAUUGGAAAGUACAACCGAAGAAGGUGAUAGUCCUGUAUACGGAUGUUAUAUAAUGGUUAUUCGAGUAAGGCGAAGCCGGUGAAACUUUGUCCGAAGAUAGCAGCACCAUCUGCUAAGGCUAAAUACUCCUGAGAGACCGAUAGUGAACCAGUACUGUGAAGGAAAGGUGAAAAGAACCCCAAGAAGGGGAGUAAAAAGAACCUGAAACCAUACACUUACAAGCGGUCGGAGCCCAUUUAUUGGGUGACGGCGUGCCUUUUGCAUAAUGAGCCUACGAGUUAGUCGUAUGUGGCAAGUAUAAGUUCUUAAGGAACGAAAGCGAAGCGAAAGCGAGUCUGAAUAGGGCGACAUAGCCACGUGCGCUAGACGCGAAACCUGGUGAUCUACCCAUGAGCAGGUUGAAGCAAGGAUAGUAUCCUUGUGGAGGACCGAACCAAUAUAUGUUGAAAAAUGUUUGGAUGACUUGUGGGUAGGGGUGAAAGGCCAAUCAAACCAGGAGAUAGCUCGUACUCCCCGAAAUGCAUUUAGGUGCAGCGUUGAGUUAGAGUAUCAUGGAGGUAGAGCUACCAAUAGGGCUAGGGGGCUUCACCGCCUACCAACCCCUGAUGAACUCCGAAUGCCAUGAUAUGUUUCUCAGCAGUGAGGCUAUGGGUGCUAAGGUCCGUAGCCAAGAGGGAAACAACCCAGACCAUCAGCUAAGGUCCCUAAAUUUCAGUUAAGUUGAAUGAACGAGGUGGGAAUGCUAAGACAGCUAGGAUGUUGGCUUGGAAGCAGCCAUUCAUUUAAAGAGUGCGUAACAGCUCACUAGUCGAGCGUUCCUGCGCGGAAAAUAAUCGGGCAUCAAACUGAAUACCGAAGCUAUGGAUUUGCAAUUUAUUGCAAGUGGUAGGGGAGCAUUGUAGUGGCGCUGAAGGUUAACUGUGAGGUUAAUUGGAGCAGCUACAAAAGCAAAUGUAGGCAUGAGUAACGAUAAAAGGGGUGAGAGACCCCUUCGCCGAAAGACUAAGGUUUCCUCGAUCUAUGCUAAUCAGAUCAGGGUUAGUCGGGACCUAAGGAGUAGCCGAAAGGCGAAUCCGAUGGCAAACGGGUUAAUAUUCCCGUACCUACUAUAGAAUAAAAGUGACGGCGCUUACGGCGUAUCGCGUACUGACGGAAUAGUACGUUGAAGGCUUCGGCCGAUAGUACAUGGACUCCUCCGGGAAGAAAUGAUAGUGUACUUAGUAAGCGUCCAAGAAAUAGCGACUAUAGCAGCCCGUACCGCAAACCGACACAGGUAGUCGAGAAGAGUAUUCUCAGGCGCUCGAGUGAUUCGUGGCUAAGGAACUAGGCAAAAUGGUCUCGUAACUUCGGGAGAAGAGACGCUCUAAUUAAAUUUGGAGCCGCAGUGAAGAGGCCCAGGCGACUGUUUAGCAAAAACACAGGACUCUGCAAACUCGAAAGAUGAAGUAUAGGGUCUGACACCUGCCCGGUGCUGGAAGGUUAAGGAAGGGGCUUAGCGCUUGCGCGAAGGUCUUAACUGAAGCCCCAGUAAACGGCGGCCGUAACUAUAACGGUCCUAAGGUAGCGAAAUUCCUUGUCGGGUAAGUUCCGACCUGCACGAAUGGUGUAACGAUCUGGGCACUGUCUCAGCCACGAGCUCGGUGAAAUUGAAGUAUCGGUGAAGAUGCCGAUUACCCGCAACGGGACGAAAAGACCCCGUGCACCUUUACUACAGCUUCACAUUGUGCUUGAAUAUAAGAUGUGUAGGAUAGGUGGGAGACUAUGAAGGUGUAUCGCUAGAUAUGCUGGAGUCAUCGUUGAAAUACCACCCUUCUUAUAUUUAGGUUCUAAUCUAUGAAAAUGGAGACAUUGUGUGGUGGGUAGUUUGACUGGGGUGGUCGCCUCCAAAAGAGUAACGGAGGCUUGCAAAGGUACCCUCAGCAUGGUUGGUAAUCAUGCAAAGAGCAUAUUAGUAUAAGGGUGCUUGACUGAGAGACCGACGGGUCGAACAGGUAGGAAACUAGGCUAAAGUGAUCCGGUAGUUCCGCAUGGAAGGGCUAUCGCUCAAAGGAUAAAAGGUACGCCGGGGAUAACAGGCUGAUCUCCCCCAAGAGCUCAUAUCGACGGGGGGGUUUGGCACCUCGAUGUCGGCUCGUCACAUCCUGGGGCUGGAGAAGGUCCCAAGGGUUGGGCUGUUCGCCCAUUAAAGUGGCACGCGAGCUGGGUUCAGAACGUCGCAAGACAGUUCGGUCUCUAUCUGUUGUGGGCGUAGGAAUAUUGAAGAGGUCUGACACUAGUACGAGAGGACCGUGUUGGACGAACCUCUAGUGUACCAGUUGUGCCGCCAGGUGCAUUGCUGGGUAGCUAUGUUCGGUCAGGAUAAGCGCUGAAAGCAUCUAAGCGCGAAGCCAUCUCUGAGAUGAAUAUUCCAUGGAAUUUAUUCCAAGAGGGUCGUAGAAGAUGACUACGUAGAUAGGCUAUAGGUGGAAGUGCAGCGAUGUAUGGAGCCGAGUAGUACUAAUUACCCGAAUGCUUCCUUU
rnacentral:rRNA from 1 species